rnacentral:rRNA from 1 species
UCCUUCUGUCAAAGCUCGAUGCACCAGUUUCCCAUGGAUCACUGAAGUUAAUCAGUGUUACGCGUGGUUAGUACCCGGAUGGGUGACCAUCUGGGCAAUCGCGCGCUGCUGGCU